GACGAACGCUGGCGGCGUGCCUAAUACAUGCAAGUCGUACGCUUCUUUUUCCACCGGAGCUUGCUCCACCGGAAAAAGAAGAGUGGCGAACGGGUGAGUAACACGUGGGUAACCUGCCCAUCAGAAGGGGAUAACACUUGGAAACAGGUGCUAAUACCGUAUAACAAUCAAAACCGCAUGGUUUUGAUUUGAAAGGCGCUUUCGGGUGUCGCUGAUGGAUGGACCCGCGGUGCAUUAGCUAGUUGGUGAGGUAACGGCUCACCAAGGCCACGAUGCAUAGCCGACCUGAGAGGGUGAUCGGCCACAUUGGGACUGAGACACGGCCCAAACUCCUACGGGAGGCAGCAGUAGGGAAUCUUCGGCAAUGGACGAAAGUCUGACCGAGCAACGCCGCGUGAGUGAAGAAGGUUUUCGGAUCGUAAAACUCUGUUGUUAGAGAAGAACAAGGAUGAGAGUAACUGUUCAUCCCUUGACGGUAUCUAACCAGAAAGCCACGGCUAACUACGUGCCAGCAGCCGCGGUAAUACGUAGGUGGCAAGCGUUGUCCGGAUUUAUUGGGCGUAAAGCGAGCGCAGGCGGUUUCUUAAGUCUGAUGUGAAAGCCCCCGGCUCAACCGGGGAGGGUCAUUGGAAACUGGGAGACUUGAGUGCAGAAGAGGAGAGUGGAAUUCCAUGUGUAGCGGUGAAAUGCGUAGAUAUAUGGAGGAACACCAGUGGCGAAGGCGGCUCUCUGGUCUGUAACUGACGCUGAGGCUCGAAAGCGUGGGGAGCAAACAGAAU
rnacentral:rRNA from 1 species